UCUGUUUAGAAAGAAUGACCUGGUUUGACUUGACACGGAGUUUAAGAGUAUAAAAAAAACUUUUGAAUCUUGUGGUCCUUAAUUAAAGUUAGGUGAAAUGUACAUCACUGUCUUUUGUUAUUGUAGCCUUAAAUAUGUCACGUUGAAAGUUGAAAUUAAAAUGUUACCCAAAAAAGAAAGAGGCCAUUUUUUUUUAAACAAACUAAAAAGGAAAUGAGAUCAUUCUUUUUAAACAGAGGAAGUAAUAAGUAAGUACCUCUUGAAUCAUGAUAAAACUAAUGAAAUAUUGAUAUACAAUUUAUCUAAAAAUAUUUAAAUCAUGAAGCCUGAUAAAUGAAAAUGUGAUUUAAAUAUUAACAAUCUUCAAAAAGAUUGAGUAGUAAGAUUUGCUCACCUAGAGAUUAAGACUAAUUAGGAAUAUGACACUUUUGUAAUUUCAUCCUAUACAAUUAUAGUUGGUGAGCAUAUGCAAGAUAUCCACCGAAUUUUUGAAUAUAUUGAUUAUAUGAUCAUAAUAUCUUGAGAUGCAUAACCAACUAUUCAAAUUAAUUGAUUCACAUUCUAUUGGCAUUGUCCAUUUAGUGUAUGGAUUGCAAAGCCACAAAUAAUCGAGUAUAAAUUAAAAAAGUAAAACAUAACGUUGAAAUCCGCUAAACAAUCAUAUAAUUAAGCUAAAGAUGUCCAUAGAAUGGUCAUAAUUCUAUGAUAAGGACUUUUGGCCGUUCAUUUGUCACGAUCCAAAAAUGGGUGUGAUGGCACUCGUCUUAUCCCACCAAGACAAGUCAGCCUAAAACUCAACCAUUACAAUAAAGUGCGGAAGUAAAAUAUAAGUAACUUAAUAAAAACCCCAAAACCUGGUAGUCACGUGUACAAGCCUCUAAAGUAUUACAAUUGAUUCAAAAGAAAACUCAAGUCUCCAAUGAAGUUGUUUCUAGAAUAGAACAAGAUCAUAAUUAAGGAGAAGAAAGUCUGCUGCGAUGGAAACAGCUACCUGACAAAUCUCCAAGAAGCCUCGGAAAAGAAGAGAAUGACAAGUACAACAAAAAUCCAGGCUCAUAACCUACAAAAAUUUGUAGAAACAAGGGGUGAGUACCAAACCACACGGUACUCAGCAAGUAAACGUCUAAACACAAGCUAAGGGGAUGAAAUACGGGUAAUCCUACCACCCCAACCGAACCUCCACAAUUACAACUGCAUAAAAUUCAGUCUAACCUAACAGUUCAUAUUUACAUAGCACGUAACUCUACAACAACACUUAGACAAAUUACAUAUACAUCCUCCACAACCACACUUUACCAAAUUACAUAUCCUCAAUAACAAGCUCAGUAUUCAUCAAUCACAAAUUUUGCAGAAAGUCAAUCACAAGAUCAGCAAAACACAAUAUCAAGUUCACCAAUGAUAAGUAUGCGUAAUGCAAUGUCAAGUAUAAUGAUGCAUGUCUGACCUAGUGAUACACAUCCGCUGUCUCUCAAUCCGGGACCCAUGGGGGACAUAUCUGUCCAUGCAUCUGUCGCGGCGCGCGACACGACCCUCGAUAAUAGUAACCAUCGCGGCGCGCGAUACAUCCCUUGAAAUAUAGUAUCUAUCGCGGCGCGCGAUACGUCCCUGUCAUCAAAAUAAUGCAAUGGCAUGUUCAUACAAAAAUAAAGAGGAUAUCACUAUUUUAAUAACAUUGCACAAUUCACAACAACAUCAACAAUGAUUCAACAAGUCUUUCAAAUCAUUCUCCAUUAUCAACACAUCACACACAACCCAUUAUUCACAUUGCCUUUUAUUACCCUUUUGUUUUCCUCAUUAGAAUUAAUCAAUGUGGACAAGUCAACCCAUCACCAAGUCCCAUUACUCCCAAACAUAUAGCACAAGGAAAUACACGCAUUCCAUACACUUAACAAGAGUUUAGAAAUUCACUUACCUUAGCCAAUCGAAUAAUCACUCUAGGACUUGAGCCUUUCCUUUCUGUUGACCUUCCAAUCGAUGCAAUCUAUUCAAGUAUAUAUUCAUAAUAAGGUUUCGAAACUAACAACACCCACAUUACUAUAGGUUUAAGCCUAUACUCAAAAGAUCAAUCAAUCUAUAAUCAAGUUCUUAAGUUUCAAGCUUAAGUUAUGUCCUAAUUCUUUUCCAAUAUCAUAAAACUAAUGGUAUUUAUAUAAGAUUAUACACCUAAUAUUUAAUUACCUAUUUCAAUAUAGAAAAACAUGAAUUAUAUGGUUAUUAUAUAAAAAAAAAUAUGAAACCGAAACCACUUGCGGAAUGAUACUUAAACUUACAGAACCAUACUUAAACUUGAACUAAUAGUAGAACGUUAUUUGUGCAUUUACACUAUACUAUGCCAUCUUCCAAUGAUUGGAUUAUCAUUGGUCAUAUUUACUCCAUAAUUCAUCCACUAAAAUUGCAAACAAGUGACCCAUAAAUGAUAUUUGCCAAUUAGUUGUUAAAAAAAAUAUUGGCAGGGAUUGAAGAUCAAAAUUCCUUAAUUACCUACAUAUUAUAAUAAUAAUUUAAAAGGAAAAACAUAUAACAAAUUUGUAUCACCUGAAACUCGUCUUUUGAUUUCUACGACGGCUCCCUUUCCACAAGUUAUUUUCAUUCUCUUCUUCUUUUCUCAAAGUCAUGAC
rnacentral:lncRNA from 1 species